rnacentral:pre_miRNA from 1 species
AUAGGAAUUACCUAGGGGAUCUUGUUAAAAUGCAGAUUCUGAUUCACAAGGUCUGGGGUAGGACCUGAGAUCCUGUGUUUCUAACAAGCUCCCAACUGAUGCUGCU